rnacentral:rRNA from 1 species
ACUGGGAAAUUUUGGAGAUGACUCGAGGUACAGAAUGAUGGAAAAGGAGGAGUUUACACGUCCUAGCGGGUGAAAUGCAUAGAUAUGUAGAUGAAACAGCCAGUGCCGAAGGCGACUUUCUGGGCUGUGAACUGACGCUGAGGCGCGAAAGCGAGGGGAGCAGGCAGGAUCAGAUACCCUGGUAGUGCACGCCGUAACCGAUGAGUACUAGGUGUUAGAGGGUUUCGAUACCCUUGAGUGCCGAAGUUAACACAGUAAGCAAUCUCGCCUGGGGAGUACGGUCGCAAGACUGAAACUCAAAGGAAUUGACGGGGGGGCGCACAAGCAGUGGAGUAUGUGGUUUAAUUCGAAGCAACGAGAAGAACCUUACCAGGUCUUGACAUCCCUCUGAAUAUGUUAGAGAUAGCAGCGGCCUUCGUGACAGAGGUGACAGGUGGUGCAUGGUUGUCGUCAGCUCGUGUCGUGAGAUGAUGGGUUAAGUACCGCAACGAGCGCAACCAUUCACUUUAGUUGCCAGCAGGUAAUUCUGGGCACUAUUGAAAGGAGACCGGUGACAAACCGGAGGAAGAAGGGGAGGACGACAAAUCAUCAUCAUCCCCAUGACGUGGGGUACACACGUACUACAAUGGCCGGUACAACGGGAAGUGAACACGCGAGGUGGAGGCAAUCCCAUCAAAGCCGGUAUCAGUUUGGAUUGCAGGCUGCAACUCGCCUGCAUGAAGUCGGAAUUGCUAGUAAUCGCGGAUCAGCAUGCCGCGGUGAAUACGUUCCCGGGUCUUGUACACACCGCCCGUCACACCACGAGAGUUUACAACACCCGAAGUCGGGGGGAAAUCUUUGGGAUUCGCGGCCGCUGCAAAGUUGUACCUGUUCAGCGCAGAUCAGCGACAU